UACGUAGGGGGCAAGCGUUGUCCGGAUUUAUUGGGCGUAAAGAGCGUGUAGGCGGCCAUGUAGGUCCGUUGUGAAAACUCGAGGCUCAACCUCGAGACGCCGAUGGAAACCAUGCGGCUAGAGUCCGGAAGAGGAGAGUGGAAUUCCUGGUGUAGCGGUGAAAUGCGCAGAUAUCAGGAGGAACACCGAUGGCGAAGGCAGCUCGCUGGGACGGUACUGACGCUGAGGCGCGACAGCGUGGGGAGCAAACAGG
rnacentral:rRNA from 1 species